AAUCUGCUGCUGCUGCUGAUGAUGAUAUUUUCGGGAAGAUUGAUAAAGUUGGUAAGGUAAUCAAAGAGUUUGUUGAGCUUGGUCUCAAAGCUGAUGACGCUAUUCUUGGAGAGAUUCCAGAUGAAUUUCUUGACCCAAUACUGUAUACACUGAUGAGAGAUCCUGUCAUUCUACCUUUAUCAAGACAAUCAGUAGACCGGCCAGUUAUGCAAAGCCACUUGCUGAAUGGCAAUACCGAUCCAUUCACCCGUUCUCAUCUGACUCAAGACAUGUUAAUACCAAACAUAGAGCUGAAACAAAGAUUUGAAGACUUUAUCAUAUCUCGAAGGAAACGGAAACGCAUCAGAGGGUAUGAAACUUCAAAAGAUGAUUGUGGUUGAGUAAAUGCAUAUUAUCUUCUUUGCUUAAAGAACUAAAGGAGGAAUCCAGAC